AGAUAUCCCCUGGCCUGGGGAAGAAGAGGAACCAUUAUCAGAGAAUGCUAAGUCAGCCAUUGAUGCACUGCUGAUAAUGGACCCAAAAGAAAGACCCAAAGACAGAGAGGUGAGGAAGCUGGCCUUCUUUGACUCGGUAGACUGGGAGAACCUGCUGGAGGUGGAGCCCCCAUUUGUCCCCCAACCUGAGGGGGACGAAGACACAACAUACUUCGAAGCAAGGAACUCUCAACAACAGCUGAUGGUGUCAGGUAUAGAUCUAUGACAAAGAAACAGUAAUGUACACAGUUAUAGGAUGGUGCUGGUGUAGAUCUCGGAAAAAUUCACAAAGACUUUUAUAUAUAGAAUAUACAGUAAUGUACACACUAUAUAGCAUGGUGCUGGAUGUUGGAAAUAGACAACAGGAAAUGUGAUAUUAUUAUUUAGUAUACUACAUUUUACAAAAUUAAUGUAUAUGAUGAUAUUAUUUAGAGCACAAGGCUUAGGCAUUGUUGCUUCUCUCUUAUGUUUGUUUGAUAUUAACGGCUACAUAUGAACAAGUUUGUAACAUUUGAUUCGAAUUACUGGGUUAUUUAGUUUUUGUUUGAGUGAUGAACAGUAAAAAUUUACCUGUUAGAAAUAUUACAUCUAUUAGGGAUCUGUUUUGCAUUAAAAAAAAUUAACAAAGCUUCUGUUUUAAUACAAAUGAAUUUUUAUGGUUUUCUUAAAAAUAUUGUAUUAUUUUUAAAAAGCCUGUAUUUAGUAUUUGUGAAUAGUUUUAAUCACUUCACAUUUAAUGCAUAGUCUCUCAAAAAAUUAAUAAACUAUCAAAUUAUAUUAUUUACAGAUUUUCAAGAUCACAUAACUUGAUUAGUAUGAAUUGGUCAAGAAUAAAUUCAGAAAUGCUGCUAAAACAGCCCAAUAGACAACUUUUUGAUAGGAGAAGUAAAGGAGAGCAAAUUCGUUUAUUUCUACUUAGUAUCUGUAUCACUAGUAUACUUUCUUGUAAUAUUUAUAAAGCUACAUAUUAAUCAGAAAUUUCUAGUCAUAUUUUAGACAUAAUCUACUUAUUAGUACUUGUAAACUGUAAAUCAUGAUAUUUAUUUCUUCAAGAUAGUUAUUUUCAAUAUUUUGUAAACAAAACAUUUUCACUACUGUUAUAUAUCUUUUACCUUGAGGUGUGCACACUCAUAUGUGAAAUAAAAUAUUGUUAUUAGAUCAGCUAUCAAAUAAAAUCAU